CCUGCCCCUAGAGGCAUUGCAGGUGUGACUGCUGUGUCACAUGUGAAUCAGUGAGGAGAGACAAAUUAGGUGAUGUUGAUGCUUAGUGUUCUGACCAAUGAGCAUCUGAAUGGUUAGUAGCAUAACAUU